rnacentral:tRNA from 1 species
GUUAUUUUAGCAUAAUAGUGCAUUAAAUUUAGAAUUUAAUUAUAUUAAUUAUUUAUAUUAAUAAAUAAUA